rnacentral:rRNA from 1 species
AACGAACGCUGGCGGCAUGCCUAACACAUGCAAGUCGAACGAGACCUUCGGGUCUAGUGGCGCACGGGUGCGUAACGCGUGGGAACCUGCCCUUAGGUUCGGAAUAACUCCCCGAAAGGGGUGCUAAUACCGGAUAAUGUCUUCGGACCAAAGAUUUAUCGCCUUUGGAUGGGCCCGCGUUGGAUUAGCUAGUUGGUAGGGUAAAAGCCUACCAAGGCGACGAUCCAUAGCUGGUCUGAGAGGAUGAUCAGCCACACUGGGACUGAGACACGGCCCAGACUCCUACGGGAGGCAGCAGUGGGGAAUAUUGGUCAAUGGGCGAAAGCCUGAUCCAGCAAUGCCGCGUGAGUGAUGAAGGCCAUAGGGUUGUAAAGCUCUUUUACCCGGGAUGAUAAUGACAGUACCGGGAGAAUAAGCUCCGGCUAACUCCGUG